rnacentral:rRNA from 1 species
AUACGGAGGGUGCAAGCGUUAUUCGGAAUCACUGGGCGUAAAGGACGCGUAGGCGGGUUGGCAAGUCAGAUGUGAAAUCCUACAGCUUAACUGUAGAACUGCAUUUGAAACUGCUAACCUAGAGUAUGGGAGGGGGAGAUGGAAUUAGUGGUGUAGGGGUAAAAUCCGCAGAUAUCACUAGGAAUACCGAAAGCGAAGGCGAUCUCCUGGAACAUAACUGACGCUAAGGCGUGAAAGCGUGGGGAGCAAACAGGAUUAGAAACCCCAGUAGUCC